GAUGAAGAACGUAGCGAAAUGCGAUAAGUAAAGUGAAUUGCAGAAUUCAGUGAAUCAUCGAAUCUUUGAACGCACAUUGCGCCCGCCAGUAUUCUGGCGGGCAUGCCUGUCCGAGCGUCAUUUCAACCAUCAAGCCCCCGGGCUUGUGUUGGGGACCUGCGGCUGCCCGCAGGCCCUGAAAACCAGUGGCGGGCUCGCUGUCACACCGAGCGUAGUAGCAAUCACCUCGCUCAGGGUGUGCUGCGGGUUCCGGCCGUUAAACAGCCUUACAAAACCCAAGGUUGACCUCGGAUCAGGUAGGAAGACCCGCUGAACUUAAGCAUAUCAAUAAGCGGAGGA
rnacentral:misc_RNA from 1 species